rnacentral:lncRNA from 1 species
GCAGAAAGGAAAUUUUUUUGUGUGUGUCCACUGAGUAGCAUCCCAUGUUCUUAAAAUAUAUUUCUCGCACAAUUCAUUUCUGGACAUCGGUGGACAUGCAACAUUGCAAAACCACAUUUACAAAUGAAAAUCAACGCUCAGACUAUAGUCAUAAAGUAGGACAAUAAAAGAACGAAAUCUACAAGCCCGGAACACAGAAGUACAAACAAUAGACCAUCAACUCUAAAAACUAAAAGGAAAAUAGAAACAUGGAUAACGAAAAAAAAAAAUCCAGGGG